AACGAACGCUGGCGGCAUGCCUAAUACAUGCAAGUCGAACGAUCACUUCGGUGGUAGUGGCGCACGGGUGCGUAACGCGUGGGAAUCUGCCCUUGGGUUCGGAAUAACGUUUGGAAACGGACGCUAAUACCGGAUGAUGACGAAAGUCCAAAGAUUUAUCGCCCAAGGAUGAGCCCGCGUAGGAUUAGCUAGUUGGUGGGGUAAAGGCCUACCAAGGCGACGAUCCUUAGCUGGUCUGAGAGGAUGAUCAGCCACACUGGGACUGAGACACGGCCCAGACUCCUACGGGAGGCAGCAGUGGGGAAUAUUGGACAAUGGGCGAAAGCCUGAUCCAGCAAUGCCGCGUGAGUGAUGAAGGCCUUAGGGUUGUAAAGCUCUUUUACCCGGGAUGAUAAUGACAGUACCGGGAGAAUAAGCCCCGGCUAACUCCGUGCCAGCCGCCGCCGUAACAC
rnacentral:rRNA from 1 species